UACGUAGGUGGCAAGCGUUACUCGGAAUCACUAGGCGUAAAGCGCAGGUAGGCGGUUGGAUAAGUUUCUUGUGAAAGCUCCUGGCUUAACUGGGAGAGGUCAAGGAAUACUGUCUGACUUGAGUGUGGUAGGGGUAACUGGAAUUCCCGGUGUAGCGGUGAAAUGCGUAGAUAUCGGGAGGAAUACCUAUGGCGAAGGCAGGUUACUGGGCCAUCACUGACGCUGAGCUGCGAAAACUAGGGGAGCAAACAGG
rnacentral:rRNA from 1 species